ensembl:lncRNA
ACUAUAAGGGUGGUGAGCACAGGCACAAGUUGCACAGAGAAGCUUUGGGGUUGUGAGAAACCUGAUGAGAAGCACGAGGAAAGUGUCAUUGCCUGUGGCAGGGGCAUUGGAACUAGAGGACUUUUAAGGUCCUUUCCAAACCAGGCCCUUCUAUGAUUCUAUGUUGAUGUAUAAAGAUAAAUGGGUUCCAUUACUAAGCAUAGCCUGCCACAAUAAGCAUCUUUAAUUAAAAUUUUAAAAGAAAUAGAAAAAAAAUAGAAUGGCUAAAUUCAAUUUUGAGAGUAUUUUUAUAAUUUUAAUUCAUUUAAGGGAAAACAAAAGUUAGGGUAAAAUUUCUAGGCCCUGUUGUUAGCAGGGUAGGAUUUAUUGCCUUUGUAUACAUCUGACUUUAUCUGACUCUAACUGAUUUAGGUAUCUUAAUGCCUUUGAUUGGGAAGCUAAGCAUUCCAAUCAAACCUGUUGAUUCCCAAACUGGUUUUUUUCACUGGGACCUGGACAUUCCUGGAUUUCUGCAUGCACUGGAGCAUUAACUGCCUGUGUUUGGUCACUGGCAGGGACCCGACCUUGUGAUCCCAGUGCCUUUGUUACACGUCUCCAGGCUCUCCCAGGUCCUUCUGUGCACAUUUCAUCCUCCUGACCACAAGGCUGUGUCUUCCCUUCCUUCUUCACUCUGCCAUUUGGCUUUGCUUAUGCUUCCCAGGUCAGAAAAUGGAGGUUGGGUGCCUGCUGGGUUCCUAUGGUGAGUAACUGGAGUUUGGUGUUGCAGCAGGUUAAUGGAAGACUGGUAAGUGCAUGUGGUUGUCUUGCUCUGAUGGCUAUAAAAGUGCUUCAGAGGCAGAAAUUAGGGAUGAUAAAUAAAUGGCUCUGAAUCUCACUUCAAAGCCAGUGGUUAUUCAGUUUCUCCUUCCUCCUUGGCCUGUUCCCCUUCCUACCUCAUUACAAUGAGGUGUGGUAAAGAAUUAAUUCCUCAGAGUCUUUAGACAAAUUAAUUUGUGUAACUGUAUAGCAUUAUUUCCUGUGUGUCACUUCUGUGAAAGGAUGUAGCACAAAAAACAGUAAACUGCCUUUUCUGCUGCACUGAUAAACCCAUUUCCUACAGUUGUCUUUCCUGCAAAACUACCAGUGUGCCAAGCAAAAAUCCAUUGCACCACAUGGUGAAUGCUGGUUAUGAAAAGGCAAAAGCAAGCAGGACUCCUGGAGGUAUUUUGUGUCACUUUGGAUUUGGAGAACCUGUUUAAGAAAAACUCAACGUAAUAAAGAGUUAAGUCAAGUGAAAAAUUUGAAUAUUCUUUUCUUUUCACUUGAAUUUAAAAGAAGACUUGUACUGGAUUCCUGUCAACAGUACAAAUUGAUUCAGGACCAGAUGUUCCAGUGGUGUAAGCUUGCCUAUAAGAUGGUUAAUUUAUGUUGUCUAGUUUAUCUGACCUGCAGUGUUAAAUGUGUACGUUGCAAAUAACAAAGGUCUGUUAAUCACUCUAUUUACAAUGUCAUCAAGUUAAAAGCUACAGAGUUAUGAAUGUAAGCAUGAGAUUAGGACCACAAGCCCUGGCUACCAGUUUUUCCCACCUUCUUACCUAUCUUUCACUGGUAUCCAGGGUUUAAUCAAUGAUGGCAAGCUUAGACUAAGCUACAAGGCAUCUUUGAAUAAUUAUAUCAGUAAAAAAUACGAUGGCUGUUUAUAACCUACAGUCUCUAAACUCAGACUUCAUGAGAAGUUUAGACUUCAUGAGAAGUUUUCAACAGUAGCUGAAAUGCAUAUAGCUAGCCAUUUUAAAGAUGUUCCAAUUGCAUUUCUCUGUAGAUAUCCUCAAGCUCUAAAAUUGUCCAUUAAUUUUAUUUUCAACACACUGAUGCUCUCAACAACAUUGUGAAAGUUAUUUUCAGGCCUGGUAUGGGUGAUGUUUUUUUUUCCAAGUGCCUAAGUAAUUGAGAAAUGUCCUUAAGUAAAAUCUAACUUAUGUAUCUGUCCUAUAUAUAUUUCAGGCAAAGUGUGUGUUUAAGUACUUUACUAUAAUGGGGCCAUCACACUUAUCCAUGCAGCUGAAAUCACACCUCCAUUAAAGUCACCAAACUGCUUGGUUCAUAUCCUUGCUGAGCCCACAGCAGUUCUUCAUCAAUAGAAUUGCACCAAAAAAGGCUAAAAAGUACACUGGAGAUGGUGCUUGGCUUUUUUCUUUCCUGCAUAACUUUGAGGAAAGCCUUGUUGUUGGUCUUGACCCUGCUCUCCUUUAACUGGAAGUGCUUUUCCCCUCAAUAUGCUGCUGCUCAUAGGCAAGAGUUUGAGCAGCCCUCAAAGCCCUGCAGAUAAAUGACUCUUGGAAAUCUCCUCGCUCCUGUAGGUGGAAAUUAGAAAUAGGUUUGUAUUAGACUGUGAUAGAGCUCGAAAUUUUAUAUACUCCCAGCUCACCAAAGCCCCAGAAUUGGAAAAAAUAAAUUAUUUUUAACUUGCAAGUUUCUUAUGUCCAUCCUUCGGUUUAUUUUCUCUGUGUUUCAUUAGAUUCUGGGAAAAAAUAUGUUUGAUACGCUAAAGAGCAAAAACUUUCUGGCUUCCACCCUCAAAAUGGGAAAUAGAAGAUAUUCCUUUGCAGGACAGGCUUCAUGAGCAAUUAGGAUCAAUGCAGUUGUACAGACCCCAAACCAGUUAAAGGCUUAAAGUCUGAUAAAGAUAUAUUUUCUUGGCAAAGCCUUAAAGUGAAUUGUUUUAAUAUACUAUAUCCCACCACUUUUUAAAAUUGUUGUUUUAUUAUUUUAAGAGACUGCUUUGUUAUUAUUGGUAGCAGACCAGAAUGCUGCUGUAGAUGUACCUUUUUAUUCCUAAUACAAUGAAAACAAAGUUGAUUAGGAACCAAAAUUUCAUAAAAUAUAAUCAGUUAAGGUUGGAAAAGGCCUUUAGGAUCAUCAAGUCCAACCAUUACCCCAGAGCUGCUGUGUCACCAAUAAACCAUGUCCCCAAGUGCCACCCACACCUUAUUUGAACAUUUCAAAGGUUGGUUAUUGUACAAUUUCCCUGGGCAUCCUGUCCCAAUGCCAGACUACCCUUUCACCAAAGAAAUAUUUCUUAAUAUCUAAUCUAGACCUCCUUUGUUGCAACUUGAGAAAGAAGCAAGUAGGGAAAGUGAACUGUGACCUGAAAAUGAAUCCUGUGGGAAAUAGGUAAACUUCCUUAUGCCACCUGUCUAGUGCAAUUAAAUCCAUAAAUGAGUUUAUCCAACUGGCUGAAAACACCUGAUCACAAACAGUACUGUUCUUUCAUUUUUUGAAACUGAGUUUUAGAAGGAGUGUGUUGGGAAGCCAUAUUAAGGGUGAACAUUAAUGUUUGACAAAGUGUAUGCAAACUUUAGACUCAUGUUUGCAGUGUGUAAGAAGUCAUAGAAGCAAAAAUGCAAGUGGCAGCAUGGGAAACCCUGUAUCUUUUUCCUUCUGUGCAACUUUGUUUUCUUUAUAAAUACUGGCAAUUUUCUCCAAAGUUAUGCUGACACACAGCUUUUGCUCUCACACAGAGUUUUGGCAGUACUUUGGUGGUUAUUUUUUGAAACUGGUCUCAGAAAAAGAAAUAGGUCUAAGAGAAAAGUUUACAGACUUUUUUAAAGUCCUUAGUUUCUUUUGGUAGCUUCUCCUAUAUUCUCAUGACAGUUUUGUCUGGGUGGCAUGUUCUUGUUCUUUUUAAGUUUUCAAUUACUUCCUGUCAGUAGUCAUAUUUUACAGAUGGUUUAUAAGAAUGUGCUGGGAAGAGUUGAAGAGAAAGCAAAUCCUUUAUUAUAUGACAAAUGGUAGUUAUCUUCUGAUAACUUCUUCUGAUCUCCUGUUUUUCUGUUUCCUUAAAAGCAUGGAUCAGAGAUCAUCAACUGAAACCACAUUUUAGUUGUGUUCUGCAAAAAUUGGUGUCCUUGAUUUUUGAUAUUGGGAAUUACAAGAGAAAUCAGAAUCUCAAAAAUGAGCAAGUGAAAAUUGUUAAUGGUGUUGUCGUUGUUCUGCCUGGGAAAUCAGUGUGUUUUCAGGACUUCUGCAUCAUGGUUGGUUUUUUUCCCAAAUUGGAACACCUUGGAGAUGUAAGGGUUGCAGAUUACUCCUUUCCAUGGUGAGGAGUAGUAUGCUGAUAAUGGUGCAAAAUGAAUCCACUGAUAAUGAGAGCUUCAAGAAUUGUUCUAUGGAAACUAAUGACUUGUUUUUCUCAUUGAGUUCAAGAGAAGAAGGCAAUGCUCUACUGCUGAAAAAACAAGCCAUGGCACAUUUUCAUCCAUAGCCACCUCCAAUUCUCAUUAUUUUAGUAGCUGAGCAACAGGAGAAGAGUGCUGGACAACGCAGAGGCAGCAGAGCUCUCUGAAAGAUUAGCAUAAGAGAAUGUGAACAAUUAAAUACAUAUCUCAGUCUGUCCUGUGCUCAGAUCUGUCCUUUUCUGAGCUUGGGAGUGUUCAUUAAUGCAGUGUGGAUAAAAGAAUAUGCCAGUUCUGGGAAGCAAGUGCUUCCAGGAUGUGCAGCAGACACGCUCUGGGCUCCAGCACAGAAAGGCUGCAAUGUGUACAGGAGCAAUGUGUAAAAUCAGAACCUUGGAAAAGCUUCCAAGCUGCCUGAGCGUAUCGAUUGUGGCACCUGCUUGCAUCAGCAGGUGCUCAGGUU